rnacentral:miRNA from 1 species
UUAGGUUGAUGCAAAAGUAAUUGUGGUUUUUGCCAUUAAAAGUAAUUGGCAAAAACCGCAAUAACUUUUGCACCAACCUAA